UUUGCAUUGUUGUGUUCUGACAGGGAGUUUCAUUCACUGUGACUACAUAUUGCAAAUUUUUUUUUAACAAUUCACAGGGUAGUAGUGAGAAGGGACUGAGGAGUUUUCUAGGAGAGGUUGGCCCAAUCACCACAACUGAGGUGGAAAGGACCCAGUAUCUAAAAAAGCAGUGAAGCCCAAGUUUUAUAUUAUUCUAGUGCUUGCCUCCCUCCCUCCUCAAGCCAGAUAAAAGAGAGCGAGAGAGAGAGAGAGAUGUUAGAAAAUUUGUCUGAGGCUCAGAAAGAGCAGGGCCUCAGUAGUAUACAUCAUCGUGACUAGUAAAAAUGGCAGGAACUCUGGGAAAGCUUACGUGUGGCACAUAAAAUGUGGGAGUUUUGGAUCUACAGGAAGUGCCAGAAGGUGGUAGUUCUUGAACAAUGUGUAGCUGAUUUGGAGCAGCAGCAGCUCUCUUCACUGCACACCAUACAGGAAGGAGAGAGGUGUCUGGAACAGUUAUACCAGAGAGUAGUCACUCAGCAAGGUCAUAGGUAAGCCAGGAGGAGUGUAGAGAUGGCAGAUGAGUGGGCGACCAUUCACCAAAAGGAGGUACAGGCCCAGAAAGCCCAGUACUCCUUGGAGCUGUCUAACAACAGUUUCAGGACAAGACUAUACUCACUUGGUUAUAACCUUUCUUGGAUUUAGAGUUCUGUCGUUUCACCACCUCGGUCAUCGAAAGAUGAAGUUUUCACUGACUUCCAUUGGUGCUCUUCAGCAUGAUGGUGCAAGUAGCUAAUCAAAGAGCUGAACUGGAGCUGAGCACUGGAAGCAAAGAUGCAAUGAACUGCAUGAAGAGAGGUACAAUUUAACCACUGAAGCAAUUCCACUUUAGACUGUCUAAGGCAUAUGAUCUUUCUUGAAACAACUUGUUGCAAAUUAAAGUUUUUUUUUCAAAGUUACUAUCAGGAACUACAAGAACACCCUCCUCCUCACUCUGCCACUAACAUAUGGCCGGGAUUACAAAACCUAACUGGCCAUGUGAUGUCUCAAAUCUUUAAAUGGUAUCUCAUCCAAAUUGUUUUACAGUUCUCUGCCAAAAGCUUUACAUAAAUAAAUCACUGACAAAACAGAUUUCAACCAAAUAUUUAGUGACAUUCCUUAAA